rnacentral:rRNA from 1 species
UACAGGUGGUGCAUGGCUGUCGUCAGCUCGUGUCGUGAGAUGUUGGGUUAAGUCCCGCAACGAGCGCAACCCUUAUCUCUAGUUGCCAGCGAUUCGGUCGGGGACUCUAGAGAUACUGCCCCGGUUAACGGGGAGGAAGGUGGGGAUGACGUCAAGUCCUCAUGGCCCUUAUGCCCAGGGCUACACACGUGCUACAAUGGGCGGUACAAAGGGUAGCGAUGCCGCGAGGUGAAGCCAAUCCCAAAAAGCCGUCCACAGUUCGGAUUGGAGUCUGCAACUCGACUCCAUGAAGCCGGAAUCGCUAGUAAUCGUGGAUCAGCAUGCCACGGUGAAUACGUUCCCGGGCCUU